AUUAAGUCUGCAUCAGCUGAUAUUUAUCUGUUCUAUCAUCUUGCCAUUCAGUUUCCUUUAAUUAGCUUUCGAUCGAUUCAUUAUAGAUGACAGAUCGCUUAAUAAUCUGUUCAUCUUAAUCUUGGUUACCCCUUCAAGUGCUGUUGGGAUUAAGUUUUGUUAUGAUUGGAUUCAUCGGCUGGUGGGGUUCAGAUUAACAUCCUGCUAAAUAUUUCUAGACUGCAACUACCGGGCGCAUCGAUGUGGUUUCAUCUAGAGAUAUUGGUGGAGAGUUUAGUUUAGAUCUCAUCGGUUUGUGGCUCUAGCUAUGGUGGAGUGGUAGCUCAAUAGCAUCCUGUUUUCUAUCGGCCGCCUGGCUGAUGGUUAUUGUAAAUUAUAUUAAAUCGGCUGGAUGGCCGAUGAAUCACUCACAUUCAUUAAGGUACUGGAAUCGACUUCACAGCCGAUAUAUUUGUCAUGAUUUGGUGUCAACAGUAACUUUUAUUUCCAAAUUCUUUUAUCAUGUUAGAUUUAUAUUUUUCUUCUUUAUCUUGCAAAUCAUUUUGCAUAUUACUAGAUAUGGAGGAAAAGAGAGAACAGGAGGUGGUUGUUUCUUCUACCUUGGUUCCUCUUGCCAUGAGAUAAAAAAGAGUGUCAUCAUCAUUGUUGGAAGUAUUGUUGAAGAGUCUUGUUGGUGUAGGUGACCUAAGUAUGACUAGAGUUGCCAUGCAUUCCUUGUUAGAGUCUUCAUCACUAGAAUCCUAUUCUUGACCAACAUGAGCUUGACCUUGAUAUUUCUUCUUGUAGUCCUUGCUCUUCUCCUUAUACCUCUUCUCUUCCUUGUCCUUAUUUUUCUUGUAUAGACAAUCGACGAUGUAAUGACCCAAUUCCUUGCACUCAUAGCAUCUUCUUUGUG
rnacentral:lncRNA from 1 species